rnacentral:misc_RNA from 1 species
UUUCCGUAGGUGAACCUGCGGAAGGAUCAUUAUUGAAUGAACUUGGUGUGGUUGUGCUGGCCCUCUCGGGGGCAUGUGCUCACCCGCCAUUCUCAUCUCUCCACCUGUGCACCUCUUGUAGACUUGGACUUGGCUUUCCGAGGGAACUCGGUCGGGAGGACUGCUGGCAAUUCAGCUGGCUGUCCUUGCAUUUCCAAGCCUACGUUUUUCAUAUACCCCAUUGUAUGUAACAGAAUGUAUCAUUAGGCCCUUGUGCCUAUAAAACUUAUACAACUUUCAGCAACGGAUCUCUUGGCUCUC